AUCGGGUUAAAUAAACGACUGACUAAACAUGUAGUAGCCUUCAGAUGGAGGGUUUGCGGACGCGGGUUCAAUUCCCGCCGCCUCCACCA
rfam:Thiothrix lacustris isolate A8 Ga0073116_1701, whole genome shotgun sequence.